rnacentral:rRNA from 1 species
UAGGGAAUCUUCCACAAUGGACGCAAGUCUGAUGGAGCAACGCUGCGUGAGUGAAGAAGGUUUUCGGAUCGUAAAGCUCUGUUGUUGGUGAAGAAGGAUAGAGGUAGUAACUGGCCUUUAUUUGACGGUAAUCAACCAGAAAGUCUUGGCUAACUACGUGCCAGCAGCCGCGGUAAUACGUAGGUGGCAAGCGUUGUCCGGAUGUAUUGGGCGUAAAGCGAGCGCAGGCGGAAGAAUAAGUCUGAUGUGAAAGCCCUCGGCUUAACCGAGGAACUGCAUCGGAAACUGUUUUUCUUGAGUGCAGAAGAGGAGAGUGGAAUUCCAUGUGUAGCGGUGGAAUGCGUAGAUAUAUGGAAGAACACCAGUGGCGAAGGCGACUCUCUGGUCUGCAACUGACGCUGAGGCUCGAAAGCAUGGGUAGCGAACAGG